rnacentral:rRNA from 1 species
UCAAACCGGGAGAUAGCUGGUUCUCCCCGAAAGCUAUUUAGGUAGCGCCUCGUGAAUUCAUCUCCGGGGGUAGAGCACUGUUUCGGCAAGGGGGUCAUCCCGACUUACCAACCCGAUGCAAACUGCGAAUACCGGAGAAUGUUAUCACGGGAGACACACGGCGGGUGCUAACGUCCGUCGUGAAGAGGGAAACAACCCAGACCGCCAGCUAAGGUCCCAAAGUCAUGGUUAAGUGGGAAACGAUGUGGGAAGGCCCAGACAGCCAGGAUGUUGGCUUAGAAGCAGCCAUCAUUUAAAGAAAGCGUAAUAGCUCACUGGUCGAGUCGGCCUGCGCGGAAGAUGUAACGGGGCUAAACCAUGCACCGAAGCUGCGGCAGCGACGCUUAUGCGUUGUUGGGUAGGGGAGCGUUCUGUAAGCCUGUGAAGGUGUACUGUGAGGUAUGCUGGAGGUAUCAGAAGUGCGAAUGCUGACAUAAGUAACGAUAAAGCGGGUGAAAAGCCCGCUCGCCGGAAGACCAAGGGUUCCUGUCCAACGUUAAUCGGGGCAGGGUGAGUCGACCCCUAAGGCGAGGCCGAAAGGCGUAGUCGAUGGGAAACAGGUUAAUAUUCCUGUACUUGGUGUUACUGCGAAGGGGGGACGGAGAAGGCUAUGUUGGCCGGGCGACGGUUGUCCCGGUUUAAGCGUGUAGGCUGGUUUUCCAGGCAAAUCCGGAAAAUCAAGGCUGAGGCGUGAUGACGAGGCACUACGGUGCUGAAGCAACAAAUGCCCUGCUUCCAGGAAAAGCCUCUAAGCAUCAGGUAACAUCAAAUCGUACCCCAAACCGACACAGGUGGUCAGGUAGAGAAUACCAAGGCGCUUGAGAGAACUCGGGUGAAGGAACUAGGCAAAAUGGUGCCGUAACUUCGGGAGAAGGCACGCUGAUAUGUAGGUGAAGUCCCUUGCGGAUGGAGCUGAAAUCA